UACGAGGGGGGCAAGCGUUGUUCGGAUUUACUGGGCGUAAAGCGUGCGCAGGCGGCUUUGCAAGACAGAUGUGAAAUCCCCGGGCUCAACCUGGGAACUGCAUUUGUGACUGCAUGGCUGGAGUGCGGCAGAGGGGGAUGGAAUUCCGCGUGUAGCAGUGAAAUGCGUAGAUAUGCGGAGGAACACCGAUGGCGAAGGCAAUCCCCUGGGCCUGCACUGACGCUCAUGCACGAAAGCGUGGGGAGCAAACAGG
rnacentral:rRNA from 1 species